rnacentral:rRNA from 1 species
GUAGGUGGCAAGCGUUGUCCGGAAUUAUUGGGCGUAAAGCGCGCGCAGGGCGGUCCUUUAAGUCUGAUGUGAAAGCCCACGGCUCAACCGUGGAGGGUCGUUGGAAACUGGGGGACUUGAGUACAGAAGAGGAAAGCGGAAUUCCAAGUGUAGCGGUGAAAUGCGUAGAGAUUUGGAGGAACACCAGUGGCGAAGGCGGCUUUCUGGUCUGUAACUGACGCUGAGGCGCGAAAGCGUGGGGAGCAAACAGGAUUAGAUACCCUGGUAGUCCACGCCGUAAACGAUGAGUGCUAAGUGUUAGGGGGUUUCCGCCCCUUAGUGCUGCAGCUAACGCAUUAAGCACUCCGCCUGGGGAGUACGGCCGCAAAGGCUG